CCUACGUGAGGCAGCAGUGGGGAAUAUUGCACAAUGGGGGGAACCCUGAUGCAGCGACGCCGCGUGAGUGAAGAAGUAUUUCGGUAUGUAAAGCUCUAUCAGCAGGGAAGAAAAUGACGGUACCUGACUAAGAAGCCCCGGCUAACUACGUGCCAGCAGCCGCGGUAAUACGCAGGGGGCAAGCGUUAUCCGGAUUUACUGGGUGUAAAGGGAGCGCAGACGGCUGUGCAAGUCUGGAGUGAAAGGCGGGGGCCCAACCCCCGGACUGCUCUGGAAACUGUAAAGCUGGAGUGCAGGAGAGGUAAGCGGAAUUCCUAGUGUAGCGGUGAAAUGCGUAGAUAUUAGGAGGAACACCAGUGGCGAAGGCGGCUGACUGGACUGCAACUGACGUUGAGGCUCGAAAGCGUGGGGAGCAAACAGGAUUAGAUACCCUAGUAGUC
rnacentral:rRNA from 1 species